GCCUACAAAACCACUCGGCCUGGAUCUGGAGCAGAGAGAAGGGACGCGAGGACUCUCUUUGAGAUUUCACGAUCCUCACGAAACCGCCUUUCCGCUACCUACAAAACCCCAAGGCCUGCAAUCCUGCAUCUGGGUUUUGGAAAGGAAACCCUCGCCCUACCUAUUCGUGGGAACCGGCCAUCUCAUGAUCCGUCACCCAGCAGCUUCUUACCCACUUCUUCGCCGUUUACUGCAGCAAACAUCUGAUUUGGGAGAUUAUGGGUGCUAUUUCCUAUCUCUCAUCUUAUCUAUCGCAUGACAGGUAAAUCUGCGGCGCCCUCGAUUGUCGAUUCGGCCGGGGGUGCAGAAAUCCGAUGAUAACCUAUUAUUCCAGAUUCCAUGAAGUGCGCGUGAAAGUUACAAACAUAUCUCGAGGAAUCAGCUUUCUAAAGCACGCGUUCUGACUUCUGAGUUACUUUGUUUUGGUAUGUUUCUUGGUGAUAUUGACUAUUGAGGGCCUGGAUCUAUGCGCUCGUAGAAAUGCCUAAUCUCUUGUAAAUAGGUUGUGGUUUCAACCUCAUUUCCGAGCUGACUAGAUGGUCGAUUUAUUUUUAUGGGGGCUAUUCUAAUCCGUCAGCCUGAUGAUUAGCAUUCUUUGCACAAAAAACGGAGAUCUGAAUGUGCUUUCCGUCGAAGCCUGCUUGACCGCUGUGGUGGGUCAUGUGAGCUCAGCUCGUUGAUCUCCCUGACUACUACCUCCGUGGCUCCGUUCCAAAUUAUAAGUAAUUUUCUCUCAGGGAAACUACCAGCUACUACACACACAUGCAUGCAUCUAUCUGUCUAUCUAUAUAUAUAUAUAUAUCCUCGCCCUUCUUCCACCACUGACUGGCUGAGCAGGCUCCGGGAGAUGCAUAUGUAGAUGCAAGAGUUAUGAAGGCUAUCCCAGAUUGGAUUGCGGUGCCUAAAUUCAUUUUUAACUUGUUUAACGAGUUCUUUAUCACUAUCUGAAAAGCUGUUCCUAUUAUAGAGUACUGCAAUGCACCGUGGUCUGCUUGUGAUUUGGUCAGCAUCACAUUAAUGAUUUUGCUUUAGCUUGACUGAUAUUCGAGGUACAAAAUGCAGUAUUUAACCCUAUGGACAAAACUGGAAGAUUAUGUGAAUUAAAGAAAGUUGCAUCUGCUGUGCUCCUGGUUCAUGGGGGCACAAUGGCAUGAUGACUAUCUAGGGGAAUCUCUGAUGCUAAUGCUAAUACAAAUUUUCUUAUCUAGCUUACACGGUGGAUAGGUUAAUGCGUGUAGAACCAUGCUAGUGAUAGAUAUCCUUUGAACCUGGAGUAAAGCAUUUUAUAUGCUUAUUUACGGCCAUAAAAGUUUUCUGGCAUCUCAUAUGUGACUGAGAUAAGCCAUUUUAGCUUGGGUGUUGGUUGCCUGGAAUUAAGUCACUAUCUGUUGAUCCUUUCCUUUCAGAAACAUGUUUGGUUUGUGUGUUGUCAUAUUUUUGCCACUUCACCGCAUAAGAAAAAUGUCAGAUAGUGAGAAGAUUGAAGAAAGACAAGAACAUCUGCAGUGUUGCCAAUUCAAUCUUGCGAUGCAAAAGUAUGAUGACUUGGGGAAUCUACAGCAAUCUUUUUGGAAGAGUUAUGUUUUGAGUCUGCAUGAGUUGCCAUCACAACAAUUGACUGCAUGAAAACAGUAAUAGCAAGAAACAGGACAAGGACAUCUUCAGUGUUCCCAGUAUCAGGGAAGUAACUGCAUGAUCACUGUCUUGGGGAAUCUCUGUUUCCAAUAUCAGAUUCGACUUAUUUUCUUGCAAGUUGUCUCUUCUCUUGUGAUCAUGUUUGGCUUUCUGUUCUUUGAUCAUGUUUGGCUUUCUGCUCUUUUGAAGCUUGGCUUGUCCAGUGUUGCCUAUCAUAUUCCAAAUAUCAGACCAUUCUUAUUUACUUCGACCAUCCUGGCUGAGAGCGCUUUGACAAGUAUCCCUGAUGUACAAUUGCAUUUUGUGCUAAAAGAAGAUUAUUUGUGAAAGCAUGAGUCCACUCCACUUGCAAAAACGCCAAUGCAUAGUACCUUGAAUUUUUUUUUGAGUUUCUGUUCAUUUUGGAGGCAAAUAGUUCAAUGGUUCGGUUUUGUUAUGGGGUAGUCAUUUUGAUAUACCAGCCUGAUGAUUAUAGUGUUUGCAUUAAGAAUGGAGAUCUGAAUGCAUUUAUCCCGUUGAAGCCCGCUUGGCCACUGCUGCCGCUGCUGGUACUACUACUGCCUUCUCUGGUGCUGAUGCUGCUGCUGCUGCUGCUGCUGUACUACUACUACCUUCUCGGCCAUCGUCGUCGUUGUUUGUCCAUCUCCCUGUGCUUCCCCCUCUCUCUGGCUGCUUGCUUGAUGCCUGCAUCCGUAUGGAUGUGUGUGAUUCUGUGAACCAAGCUGGGCUCCGGGGAAUGCAUAUGCAGAUGCAAGGCUUAUGAAGGCUUGGCACAAAUGCCCCCUACCGAACAAUUUUGCCAUGUAAAAGUAGUAUCUCUAUAUGGUUGGUGUCUUUACUCUCGUUUUUUUUUGGCAACCCUGUUUGCUGAAUUGUUGCCCUUAACUGCAAUGUCAGUGAUCUCUAAUUUCACCGUUUAUUCUUAGGCUUAUGAAACAAAUGUGGAAAAGUUGUGUAUUGUUAGAUGUUCUCUUCCAUCUCGAUUUGGAUCUUAAUUUACAUGUCCAUAGUGGUCGAUGAUUCAAGGUUUUUUUUUUUGAAGUAGACGAGUGAUUUGGAAUGGCAACAUAGGGCCUGUUUGGCAUGGCUCCAGAGCAAAACUCCAAGGAGGAGCUGGCCAGAGCAUGCCAAACACCCUAACUCCAGAGUUAUAAACUCUAUGGAGUUUUUGGAGCUGCAGUACAAUUUUUUGGAGUACCUCUUUUGCUGCUCUGAAAACUCCAAAAAAAACAACCUAGUCAUGGAGUUUUGAGUUAUUUACCCGCCAUUGCCACUAGUUAUGAGAAACAAUCUAAACUCUGGAGCAGAGCUGCUCCACCCAGAGUUUAGUAGAGCUGCUCUGGGGUGGAGCAGAGCCAUGCCAAACACACCCAUAGUCAGGUACCCUGCUUUGCAAUCAAGGUGAGACGAAAUGAACUUUUAUGAUCAUUCAUUUAAUAGAUGGACGUUGAGGGUAGGCCUUUACCGAAUGUCUCAGAAUCAGCUAAUCUUAACCAUUUUGUGAUUUAUUUCAGGAGCAACCACUUUAUAUUUCCUGAAGGUCACUAAUGCAGGUCAAAAGUGGAAUAGAAGAAGAUUCGGCUUAAAUGCGCAUAUGAGGCACGUUGGCAAGAAAACGAAGAAAGGACUCACCAACAUGUGCACCAAGGCUUUGAGAGAAAAAGACGAUGAUGCCGCUAGUAGAUUCUAUGGUUGAAUGUAUAGGGUUUGAGGUCAUGGUUGUAACUUCACACAAAGUUGUACGAUGGGGUGUCCCUAACUCCCUGUAAAUAGGUAAACAACCCAUAUACAGGCAAGCUCGAGAUACCUGAAGAACUUGCUUGUGUAAUUUCGAACGCUCAACUUUUAAAGUUUUAGAACAUUUGGAUACUUCAUUAUCC